rnacentral:lncRNA from 1 species
AAAAGGUUUAACUGAAAUGUUUCGAAUCUGUAAAAAUUUACUAAUUUAACAAUUUUAAGAGUUAUUUAUAAUGUCAUUCAACAUCAUGCUUCGCUGGGUUUCCUUGUAACGUUAUCUAUAAUUUGUUUUAUGUUUAGUUCCAAACUGUAGUGCACAUGCAUCAACGCAAGUCCGUUAAACGCUAUUGCCCCAUAGUUGUUAUCAUGUAGGUUUUUAGAAGUGAUAACUCACUGUUGGAUCGGUCACUUUCGCAACUCAUCACCCCCAUGGUAGCUAUGAUUUUUA